UUGAGAGAGAUUAAGAGUUUUGGCAAAUCUUUGAAAGUGAAUAGUAACUUCAAAAGGAAUAGUGGUGUACCGAAAUUGCCCUUUUUUUUUCUUCCGAAAAUGCCCUUACAACAAGUCUUUCUUUUAGUCUUUUUCUUGCUCCAGCGUUCAUUUUAGCUAUUAUUCUUUCUCUUUCAUCUGAAUAUAAUUUCUCACUUCCUAUUUUCUUGCUCCAGCUUUCAUUCUUAUAAUUUCUCACUUCCUUUUUUCUUGCUCCAGCUUUUAUUCUUGGUCCAGUUUUCAUUUUUGGUCCAGCUUUCAUUCUUGCUUUUUUUUUUUUAAUUUUUUUUAUUUCAUCUGAAUCUAAUUCUGCGGUUCGUGAAUUUGCUAUUCACGCAUUAAUGUGAAGUAUUUUCGGAAAAUGCAAGAUGAAGGAUUGGAAUAUUGGAUGUCCAAUCAGCUAGAAAGGCUGAUAACUUUGGAAUGCUUAUCCAUCAUCUUUCUCUAUUACGCAACAAGCGCUGCCUAAUGGCAUGUGCAUAACCGAUCUGAAAUUAUACAGAACCUAAGCUGGAAGGUUAGACGGCUGCUUCCUAAAGAAAUUGAGCACAAGCUAAGUGAUCCAGAAAAGCGUUAAUUUAAGAGCCACUCUUCAGCUUUACAAUCGUAUAUGAGGGACAUGGAUGGCCUUGAUUUGACUGUGGAUAUGGUGCCACCAAAAGAUCCCUACAUUUAAAGUAAGAGUCCUUGAUGAUAUUGGUGUGACAGCAAUGGGAGAUUGAGAUACCAAUCUUGCAAGCCACUCAAUCCACUUCCUCAAACGAAGUGAUGCUGAGCAUUACAUGUUUCAAGUAGAUGGACAGUAAGACAACCUUUUUUGCUGGUUUUAAACAUUUUGUAUCUAGAGAUCACUCUAACUCAAAAUCUUGUUUUUUAAAAAGGGGAUGAUGGAAGAACUCCUAGGGUGAUAUAAAAUGUGGAGUCCCAUAGUCUCAGCAUACAUGCCAGUGUUCUAAUCCAUGUCUCAUAGUCUCUCAUACAUGCUAGUGUACUACUUAGUAUGUUGUUUGUUUCAAGAUCUCCAUGCUCAGAUGUUUGGCUUUGACUGGGCAGAAGACUCAACCGUCUUUAAAGUACGCUUAUCUGGGCAGAUUACUCAACCGUCUUUUUAAAGUAUGCAUGUCUGGGCAGAAGUGCAAGCAAAAGCUGUCAGAUCAUGAGAUAUGUGAUUUAACUGUGCAGCUGUGCAGGACCUGUAAACUGUGGUGUUUUGCUGCUGUUAUUCAUCUAGGAUUGUAACUACUCUCUUUCCUCUAAACACCAAUAAAAAUAGAAGAAACUUUUUAUAAGCAAUUUUUAUUGAUUACUGUAUCUAGCUGUGGAUGAUAAUAAAUUUUGUUUGAUAAAUUGAUAGUAAUAGCUUGGAAAAUUUGCAAAU